rnacentral:lncRNA from 1 species
GGAGAGCCUGCCUGUGGGUUGAAGAUUUGACAAUGAUGUCCUUGGACCAGCUUUUGUUCCCUCAGAUCUGAACUGCUCCCAAGUCUGUGGAUCAAUGGAACGACACUAAAUGGCACAGAUACACCACGUCACGCAGAAUUUCAGGGGAUUUAACUUAUCUGAACAUAUCACGUGUGAAAAGGCUUUUUCCGAGCCCUGUAGAUGGGUCAGGGAUAUGGAAAU